CCAGUGAAAGAAGUUUAUCAGUACUCUAAUCUCAAGAAUACUCUGGAAGGGGAAUAAGGAAACAAAUAGGAAAGUCACAGUCUACUUGGGAAAGGACAUAAAGCAGUAGUGAUGAAAUGCGAAACCAGUGUCAUGACAGCUAAAAACUCCCAUUCUGUUCACAAGUGGAAAUGACUUCUGAUAACUGAAGGCUGACUCUAUGAGUGGAUAAUCCGUUUGUUUCAACCCUAAUUCUCAGGCUGCCUACGAAACAGUAAAGCUGAGCCCAGAGGAGUGACUCACAAAACAGGAAAAACACAACUCGAAGAAAUUGUGUAGCCGUGUCUUACAAACUAAAAAAGAAUGUAACUGUAUUUAUUCUUUAAAAGUAAGAUGUAAAAUUCUG